rnacentral:lncRNA from 1 species
CUGGCCCUGGGCUCCUGCUGAAACGAGACACUGGACAGCCCCACCUCACUCAACCUGUUUAUCCUGUUGCAGGGACCUGAGGACGGGGAACCAGCGGCUCCCUCUCACCUGCAGCUCUCUCUUCGGGCAUUUCUGAGCUCUCUGCAUGAGGGAUUGCUGUGUGUGUGAACCCUGAGCUCCCUGGGACCAGGCCGGGUGAAACAGAGAGGAGGGAGGUCAGCGGAUGGCCCUGGGCAGCCCAGCAUCGUCCUGCGCUGGGAUCCCCAGGCAGAGCCACAGCGAAGCCCCGAGCGAGGCUUUCACCUCUGCGGCGAGGAUCAAUGAGUGGAAGGAAUAAAUCAAAGCCAUCAAAUGACACUUGUGUGAAAUCCAGAGUCUGGGUCUAAAAGACUGGGGUUUGGAUCAAAAGAUGUCAUUCUUCACACGGAUGGAAGCAGGUGGAUAAAGAUGUAUCUCUGGAGCAG